rnacentral:lncRNA from 1 species
GCGUGCCACACGCUCAGCAUGGGCCUGGCCCACCGUGGGUGUGCCAGCAAUGAACACACUGCCUGGGGGUGACCAGAGCCGCCGUGUCUGCGGUUCCCUCGGUGGGAAUGUGCUCUGUGCGUCCGCCGGGCUGGCUCAGAAGCUCACGGAAGCCCUUUCAACACUGUGCAGAGCCAGGUGGACAAUAAAAUGUUUGGGAAAGAGGAGAACCGUUUUCAAAAUGAUAUGAAUAUAUUUAAAUCCAUUAAAAUGUUUCAUUUGACUUACAUUCGUUUAUCUUCAACCUCUUCAUGAGCUCAGUGAGUCGAGUUCUGUUAGCUUCCAUACAGUUGCCCACAACUUAUUUCAACUCCUUUUUUUUAGCAGAUUGCCCCUACUGAAUUUUUCCAAAUCACUCAACUUCGUUUUUCUAGGAAUGACACCAUUUUGUUUUUACACUCACUGUCCAGAGUUUAA